rnacentral:rRNA from 1 species
GAGUUUGAUCAUGGCUCAAAACGUACGCUGGCGGCACGCCUAACACAUGCAAGUCGAACGAAGUAGCAAUACUUAGUGGCAGACGGGUGAGUAACAUGUAGGUAUCUGCCCUUUGGCCUGGAAUAACACGAGGAAACUUGUGCUAAUACCGGAUAAGUCUUUACGGAGAAAGCUUCAUGCACCAUUGGAUGAGCCUGCACUUGAUUAGUUUGUUGGUGGGGUAAUGGCCUACCAAGACUGUGAUCAAUAGCUGAUUUGAGAGGAUGAUCAGCCACAUUGGGACUGAGACACGGCCCAAACUCCUACGGGAGGCAGCAGUGGGGAAUCUUGCACAAUGGAGGAAACUCUGAUGCAGCGAUGCCGCGUGAGUGAAGAAGGCCCUUGGGUUGUAAAGCUCUUUCGUCGGGGAAGAAAAUGACUGUACCCGAAUAAGAAGGUCCGGCUAACUUCGUGCCAGCAGCCGCGGUAAUACGAAGGGACCUAGCGUAGUUCGGAAUUACUAGGCUUAAAGAGUUCGUAGGUGGUUGAAAAAGUUAGUGGUGAAAUCCCAGAGCUUAACUCUGGAGCUGCCAUUAAAACUUUUCAGCUAGAGUAUGAUAGAGGAAAGCAGAAUUUCUAGUGUAGAGGUGAAAUUCGUAGAUAUUAGAAAGAAUACCAAUUGCGAAGGCAGCUUUCUGGAUCAUUACUGACACUGAGGAACGAAAGCAUGGGUAGCGAAGAGGAUUAGAUACCCUCGUAGUCCAUGCCGUAAACGAUGUGUGUUAGACGUUGGAAAUUUAUUUUCAGUGUCGCAGGGAAACCGAUAAACACACCGCCUGGGGAGUACGACCGCAAGGUCAAAACUCAAAUGAAUUGACGGGGACCCGCACAAGUAGUGGAGCAUGUGGUUUAAUUCGAAGAUACGCGCAGAACCUUACCAACACUUGACAUGUUCGUCGCAACUCUAAGAGAUUAGAGUUUUCGGUUCGGCCGGACGAAACACAGGUGCUGCAUGGCUGUCGUCAGCUCGUGUCGUGAGAUGUUGGGUUAAGUCCCGCAACGAGCGCAACCCUCACUUUUAGUUGCCAUCAUUAAGUUGGGCACUCUGAAAGAACUGCCAGUGAUAAGCUGGAGGAAGGUGGGGAUGACGUCAAGUCCUCAUGGCCCUUACGUGUUGGGCUACACACGUGCUACAAUGGUAUCUACAACAGGAAGCAAGACUGCGAAGUUAAGCAAAUCCCUAAAAGAUACCUCAGUUCGGAUUGCACUCUGCAACUCGAGUGCAUGAAGCUGGAAUUACUAGUAAUCGUGGAUCAGCGUGCCACGGUGAAUGCGUUCCCGGGUCUUGUACACACCGCCCGUCACACCAUGGGAGUUGGUUCUACCUUAAGGCGAGGUUUAAAACCCUUGACCACGGUAUAGUCAGCGACUGGGGUGAAGUCGUAACAAGGUAACC